GUAGGGUGCAGGCGUUAAUCGGAAUUACUGGGCGUAAAGCGUGCGCAGGCGGCCUCUUAAGUCAGAUGUGAAAUCCCCGGGCUUAACCUGGGAACUGCGUUUGAAACUGGGAGGCUUGAGUGUGGAAGAGGGGGGUGGAAUUCCAGGUGUAGCAGUGAAAUGCGUAGAGAUCUGGAGGAACACCGAUGGCGAAGGCAGCCCCCUGGGCUAACACUGACGCUCAUGCACGAAAGCGUGGGGAGCAAACAGGAUUAGAUACCCUGGUAGUCCACGCCCUAAACGAUGUCAACUGGUUGUCGGGGAAGUUAUUCCUUGGUAACGAAGCUAACGCGUGAAGUUGACCGCCUGGGGAGUACGGCCGCAAGGUUA
rnacentral:rRNA from 1 species